GCCUGGGGUUAUUGUGGCCAAAGUGCAGGACCCGGCAUUUGGUCUUGUUGAAUGCCGUCCCAGUGGCUUCAGCCGAGCUAUCCAGCCUGUCCAGAUCCCUCUGUAGGGCCUCGCUACCCUCAGGCAGAUCAACACUUCCAGCCAGCUUGGUGUCACCUGCAAACUUAGUGAGGGUGCACUCAAUGCCCUCAUCCAGGUCAUCAAUACAGAUAUUAAAGAGGACAGGCCCCAGCACCGACGCCUGGGGGACACCAGUCGUGACCGGUCGCCAGCUGGAUUUAACUCCAUUCAGCACCACUCUCCGGGCCCGGCCCUCCAGCCAGUUCCUUACCCAUCCCAGAUUGUGGCAGUCCAGUUGGAGUAGCAGGUCUCUGACCGUUUCCUCCUGAAUUGUGGGGGGUUUAGUCUGCUCCGCAGCCAAGGCUGCCAGGUCAGAGAGUGGAGAAACCUGAGGAUAACUGUUCUGAGUUUUAAAGACAGAUGUAAAGAAGGCAUUCAGAAGGUCUGCCUUUUCCUUAUCCUCAGUGGUCACGUUCCCAGCCUCAUCCAGUAGAGAAUGGAGAUUCUCCCUGGUCCUCCUCUUACUGUUGAUAUACUUGUAAAAGAGUUUCUUGUUCCCUUUCACCCCAGCAGCCAGGUUGAGUUGAAUGGUUGAGAUGGGCACCAGGGAAAAGGAGGAUGAGAUAGGUAUGUGAACUGGGGUUUCCAGUGGAGAGGAACAAGAUGAGCUGAAGAGGUGAUUCAAGAUAGCUGGCGUGGCUUUGUUAAGGGCAGAUUGUACCUGACCAAUCUGGUGGCCUUCUGUGAUGGAGUAAUGGCAUCGGUGGACAGGGGAAGGGCAACGCGUGUCAUCUAUCUGGAGUUCCGCAAAGCCUUUGACGUGGUCCCUCACCACAUCGUUCUCUCUAAACUGGGGAGGUGUGGAUUUGAAGGAUGGACUGUUCAGUGGAUUAGGAAUUGGCUGAUUGGACGCAGCCAAAGGGUUGUGAUGAAUGGUUCUGUGUCAGGGUGGAGGCUGUGUAUGGAAGUGUGACUGCUACCUUUCUUGGGUGAUGUGAAACUGAUAGAAGGCAGCUGUAUCU
ensembl:lncRNA